rnacentral:misc_RNA from 1 species
CGAAAAGAGAGAAAACAGUUGAAGCUAAAACUGCCUAUAUCUUACAGAUAUUCCUUUGGAGGAACUGUUUCUCAAAGAAAAACUAUUUCUCAGUCGAUUUAACCAUGACAAUUUCAUUUCACCAGAGCCAGUGCACUGACCCUCAUCCUCCCCCUCGCUGCUGAAAAGGGUUUGGUCACCGCAGUCCAGUGAAGCUCCACAUGCUAGGUUAUAAGCCUGGCAUGCAGAAUGGCAUACUCGUAG